GUGUCAGCCGCCGCGGUAAUACAGAGGUCUCGAGCGUUAAUCGGAAUUACUGGGCUUAAAGGGUGCGUAGGCGGUUCCGUAAGUGCCUUGUGAAAUCCCAUGGCUUAACCAUGGAAUUGCUCGGUAGACUGCGGGGCUUGAGGUCAGUAGGGGUCGCUGGAACUCUAGGUGGAGCGGUGAAAUGCGUAGAUAUCUAGAGGAACGCCAAAGGUGAAGACAGGCGACUGGGCUGAAUCUGACGCUGAGGCACGAAAGCGUGGGUAGCGAACGGGAUUAGAAACCCCCGUAGUCC
rnacentral:rRNA from 1 species